rnacentral:rRNA from 1 species
CGGACGUGAGGAACCUGCCUCAAAGAGGGGGACAACAGUUGGAAACGACUGCUAAUACCGCAUGACGCAUAGAGGUCGCAUGAUCUUUAUGCCAAAGAUUUAUCGCUUCAAGAUGGCCUCGCGUCUGAUUAGCUAGUUGGCGGGGUAACGGCCCACCAAGGCGACGAUCAGUAGCCGGACUGAGAGGUUGAACGGCCACAUUGGGACUGAGAUACGGCCCAG